CCAAGGCGCUUGAGAGAACUCGGGUGAAGGAACUAGGCAAAAUGGUGCCGUAACUUCGGGAGAAGGCACGCUGACACGUAGGUGAAGUGAUUUACUCACGGAGCUGAAGUCAGUCGAAGAUACCAGCUGGCUGCAACUGUUUAUUAAAAACACAGCACUGUGCAAACACGAAAGUGGACGUAUACGGUGUGACGCCUGCCCGGUGCCGGAAGGUUAAUUGAUGGGGUCAGCGCAAGCGAAGCUCCUGAUCGAAGCCCCGGUAAACGGCGGCCGUAACUAUAACGGUCCUAAGGUAGCGAAAUUCCUUGUCGGGUAAGUUCCGACCUGCACGAAUGGCGUAAUGAUGGCCAGGCUGUCUCCACCCGAGACUCAGUGAAAUUGAACUCGCUGUGAAGAUGCAGUGUACCCGCGGCAAGACGGAAAGACCCCGUGAACCUUUACUAUAGCUUGACACUGAACAUUGAGCCUUGAUGUGUAGGAUAGGUGGGAGGCUUUGAAGUGUGGACGCCAGUCUGCAUGGAGCCGACCUUGAAAUACCACCCUUUAAUGUUUGAUGUUCUAACGUGGACCCGUUACCCGGGUUGCGGACAGUGUCUGGUGGGUAGUUUGACUGGGGCGGUCUCCUCCUAAAGAGUAACGGAGGAGCACGAAGGUUGGCUAAUCCUGGUCGGACAUCAGGAGGUUAGUGCAAUGGCAUAAGCCAGCUUGACUGCGAGCGUGACGGCGCGAGCAGGUGCGAAAGCAGGUCAUAGUGAUCCGGUGGUUCUGAAUGGAAGGGCCAUCGCUCAACGGAUAAAAGGUACUCCGGGGAUAACAGGCUGAUACCGCCCAAGAGUUCAUAUCGACGGCGGUGUUUGGCACCUCGAUGUCGGCUCAUCACAUCCUGGGGCUGAAGUAGGUCCCAAGGGUAUGGCUGUUCGCCAUUUAAAGUGGUACGCGAGCUGGGUUUAGAACGUCGUGAGACAGUUCGGUCCCUAUCUGCCGUGGGCGCUGGAGAACUGAGGGGGGCUGCUCCUAGUACGAGAGGACCGGAGUGGACGCAUCACUGGUGUUCGGGUUGUCAUGCCAAUGGCACUGCCCGGUAGCUAAAUGCGGAAGAGAUAAGUGCUGAAAGCAUCUAAGCACGAAACUUGCCCCGAGAUGAGUUCUCCCUGAGACUUUAGGUCUCCUGAAGGAACGUUGAAGACGACGACGUUGAUAGGCCGGGUGUGUAAGCGCAGCGAUGCGUUGAGCUAACCGGUACUAAUGAACCGUGAGGCUUAACCUUACAACGCCG
rnacentral:rRNA from 1 species